UCUAAUUGACAUAUUAAGUUUCAUUAUAGCAUAGUCCUUAUUUUCAUGGAUCAAGAUGUGACACAUGCAAAUUUGGAAAAGGAGAUAUGAUUUCACUAGAUAGAGAACUUCUGAUUUGAAAAAAAAAAAAGAUCCCUCUUAACUAAUUUUUGUUCUAUAACUUGAAGUCUUUUAAAAAGUUGUUCAGAUACUGGGCUUAUACCCCAAAGAGAUACUAAAGAAGGGAAAGGGACCUGUAUGUGCCAAAAUGGUUGUGGCAGCCCUGUUUGUAGUGGCUAGAAACUGGAAAGUGAAUGUAUGCCCAUCAAUUGGAGAAUGGCUGGGUAAAUUGUGGUAUAUGAAUGUUAUGGAAUAUUAUUGUUCUGUAAGGAAUGACCAGCAGGAUGAAUAUAGAGAGGCUUGGACAGACUUACAUGAACUGAUGCUAAGUGAAAUGAGCAGAACCAGGAGAUCAUUAUACACUUCAACAACGAUACUGUAUGAGGAUGUAUUCUGAUGGAAGUGGAUUUCUUUGACAAAGAGACCUAACUGAGUUUCAUUGAUAAAUGAUGGAUAGAAGCAGCUACACCCAAAGAAAGAACACUGGGAAAUGAAUGUGAACUAUUUGCAUUUUUGUUUUUCUUCCCGGGUUAUUUUUACCUUCUGAAUCCAAUUCUUCCUGUGCAACAAGAGAACUCUUCAAUUCUGCAAACAUAUAUUGUAUCUAGGAUACUGCAACAUAUCAACAUAUAUAGGACUGCUUGCCAUCCAGGGGAGGGGCUGGAGGGAGGGAGGGGAAAAAUCGGAACAGAAGUGAGUGCAAGGGAUAAUGUUGCAAAAAAAUUACCCCGGCAUGGAUUCUGUCAAUAUAAAGUUAUUAUAAAAUUAAAUUAAAUUAAAUUUUUUAAAAAGUUGUUCAGAACAUUGUGAAGAUAAGUGAUUUUUUUCCCAGGGUCACACAAUCAGUUUGUAUCAGUAGGUCUUAUUUAUUCUGAGGUGGGCCCCUUAUUCCAUGGUCCAUAUUCAUAAUUAAGGCAUAAUAAAGGAAUAAAGUAUUUUAUGUGAGAUUCGGGUAAACUGGUUUAAAAAGUCCUUACCAACUAAAUGAAUCCAAGUAGGCUUUCUUUAACCAUAAUAUUAACUUUAAAUUAUAAAUAGGAAUUUAGUAGAUAGCAAAGAUAUCAGGCAUAUCAUAAACAAAGGAAAGAAAAUGGGAAAAUGGGUGUUGAGUGUAGGGAGAAUGGUGGUAUUUACAAGUAAUGAUAAGUAGUUUGAUAUGAUUAGACCAUGGAUUAAAUGGAAAGAAAUAACACAAGAGAAGAUUGGAAAGCUGUCAUGAUGAAGGACUUUGAAUCCUAGUUUAGACUAGGAUUAGACUAGCGUUUUACAUUUUACUCUUAAAUGAAGGAUCCAUGUAACAGAUUUAUGCGUAAAGGAAUUGUCUGGUAGUUUGUAAGAGAUGAUUUGGAAGGUUAAAAGAAAGAAUGAAUAUAGCCAUACCUGUUAAGAAACUACUACAAUAGUUGUGUAGAUGUUCAUCGGGCUCUAUAUUAAUAUGGUGACAAUAAGAAUCAGGUAGAUAAAUGUAUAUUAAUAUGGUGACAAUAAGAAUCAGUAGAUAAAUGUAAAAACUGUGACAUGAGAGAUGAAAGAGAAAAGUCAGAGAACAAAAAGGUUUCAAACAUCAGAGAUUGAGGGAAAUGAAUAAAAAUAGAUUUAGAAGGAAAAAUAAUGAACUAGGUUUGGGACAGGUUCAAUUUAGAGGUGCUUGUAGGACAUUCAAGUAGAAUUAUCCUCUAAUCAAUCAAUCAUUCAGCAUUUUUAAAGCACCUGCCAUGUGCCAGGCACUAUACUAAGUGCUAGGAAUAAAAAAAAAAAAAAAAAGAGGUCCCUGUCUUGAAAGAGCUUACAGUUAGUGGAGGAAGACAACACACAAACAAAUAUAUACAAUACAAGCUACACUCAGGAUAAUAGGAAAUAAAUAACAAAGAGAAAUCACCAGAAUUAGGAAGGGGUAGAGAAGACAUGCAGGAAAAGAUGAGAUUUUUGUUGGGACCUGAAAGAAGCCUCUGUAGGCCAAGGAGACAAAGGACAAUCCAGGUAUGGGAGACACUCAGAGAAAAUGCUCAGAGCCAGGAGAUGGAGUGGCUUGACUGUGGAAUAGCUAGUAUGUCAGUGUUACUCAGUCCAAUAAUAAGUGUAGAGCAGAAAAAUAGACUGGAAAGGCAGAGGCAAAGAAUUUGGAGUGGUGAGCAGUUUUUUGUGCCCACACCUGAAGGCAGGAGGAAAGGACCUGAUGGGACCUGUAUUUUAGGAAAUUACUUUUGUGGCUGAAAGGCAGAGAAACUGGGGGAGUAAUCCAAGCAUGAGGAGGUGGGUCCCUGCCCAGAGGAAAGGAGGAGGCGUGUUUGAGAAAUGUUACAAAGAUAGGGGAGAUACAGUGAGGAGUUUAGGUUGCAAACCAGAGUUGUCUUUAUAGUAAUAGGGAAGAGUAGUUGAGUGUAAAGGCAGGUAAAGUUUAAAGGGAAGUAAUGAGUUCCAUUUUGAACAUGGUAAGUUUAAGAUGUCUACUGGAUAUCCAUUUUAAGGUAUCUGGAAAUGUGAAAUUGGAGGUCAAAAGAUAUGUUGGGACAAGAUAGAUAGAUCUGAGAAUCAUCAGCAUAGAAAUGGUAAUUAAAUCCAGUUAAACUCUGGUAUAGACAGAGAUGUGGAUCUUAAACUCAGAAGGCAACUCAAAACUAGAUAUAUUAAGGGUUCCCUCUGCAUAAAGGUUAUUGAUAAAGCAGUUGGUGAAUUUUUCUCUUUAAUAAAAUGAGAAGAUUUUAUUGAUGUAUUUUGUUUUUACAUUAUAUUAACAAAUUACGUCAUUUGUAGCCACAUGAAAAAAUGUUUCAAAUCAUUAUUGAUCAGAGAAAUGCAAAUUCAGACAACUCUGAGAUACCACUACACACCUGUCAGAUUGACUAAGAUGACAGGAAACGAUAAUGACAAAUGUUGGAAUGGAGGUGGGAAAACAAGGACACUGAUGCAUUGUUGGUGGAGUUGUGAACGAAUCCAGCCAUUCUGGAGAGCAAUCUGGAAUUAUGCCCAAAAAGUUAUCAAACUGUGCAUACCCUUUGAUCCAGCAGUGUUUCUACUGGGCUUAUACCCCAAAGAGAUACUAAAGAAAGGAAAGGGACCUGUAUGUGCCAAAAUGUUUGUGGCGGCCCUGUUUGUAGUGGCUAGAAGCUGGAAAAUGAAUGGAUGCCCAUCAAUUGGAGGAUGGUUGGGUAAAUUGUGGCAUAUGAAUGGUAUGGAAUAUUAUUGUUCUGUAAGAAAUGACCAGCAGGAUGAAUACAGAGAGGACUGGCGAGACUUACAUGAACUGAUGCUAAGUGAAAUGAACAGAACCAGGAAAUCAUUAUACACUUCAACAACAAGAUUAUAUAUGAUAAUCAAUUUUUUAAAAUAACUUUUUAUUGACAGAACCCAUGCCAGAGUAAUGUUUUUUUAAAUUUUUAUUUAAUAAUUACUUUAUAUUGACAGAAUCCAUGCCAGGGUAAUUUUUUUUACAACAUUAUCCCUUGCACUCGUUUCUGUUCCGAUUUUUCCCCUCCCUCCCUCCACCCCCUCCCCUAGAUGGCAAGCAGUUUUAUAUAUGUUGGAUAUGUUGCAGUAUAUCCUAGAUACAA